AAGGGGUUGACGCAGAAACUACCUCCUGUUGAUUAUAGCUUCUCAUUCCUCUAGAAUGACGGACGCAGUUCCUAUGCCUAAUGUAUGCAAAUAAAACCAUCCGCAAAAUGAUACUCCCAUCUGGGAUUCUGUAGGACUGUUCCUGAGAAACGCCUGCCUGAUGUUUUCACCACCUCCAGGCAGAGUUCAAUAAAAACGAACUUAGCCAAAUGCCUGACAGGUAGUAAGUGCUCAAGAAACAGUUGACUGGACGACUGCUCCAUUUCUUCUCUGCAUAUCUGAACACUCAAGCACCGGAAGGCACCUAAACCCAGAGCCUCUCCAGACCAUAUGACAUCAGUCAAAGACUCUGCUUGAGAAUUAUUUUUGUUCUUGGCCUCAGCUCCGGAUCACAGCAACUUAUAUAUGCCAUCUCUGUUUCAGAGACAGUUUAUUUUCAGCUGCCAAACCACUUUUUUCCAAGCCUUCAGUCAAAUAAUUUCUCCUGAAGAAAAAGAAAAGAGAAUGACAUAACUGUCAGGGUUUUAUUUCAAAAGAAGAGUGGUUAUAUAGAUUUUUUGUGUGUGUUCAUAUCAAAGUGUCAAUAACUGUUAAAGAGGAACAGUCAACUAGCAAGUCACUUGUCAAUGAUUCUUCCAUCUUUGACAUGGGAGAGAUUUGAAGAACAUUUAUUUAGCAAUUUUUUUUAUUAAAUGUCUACUUGGCUUACUGGACUAAGUUGUGGCAAUCUGAGAAUGGACCAGAUUUCAUUCAAGAUGUUUGCCUUCAAGGAGUUUAUAGUCUAGUGGGAAAAAUAAACAAGUAAAAUCUGGGAACUUUAAGCAUAAAUCUCUGGAACAUUCAUAGUCAUUGUAUAACAGGAAUUCUUUAACAUUUUGGAUGUUAUUUUCUCAUCUUUCCACUGAACAAAAUUGACUCAAGCCUUUAAUAAUCUCUGCUGUGUACUUGCAGUGGAAAAUGUCAACAAGUAAUCCUAACAAUUCUCCAGGAAGUGGAGGCUCAGGUGGUUAGUGAGUAGUCCCAAUAUUGAGCUCAAAAGUCGGUCUUCUACAUCCAUUUUUUCUGUCGUGUGUUUCUAUCAUGAACACGUUUCCAUUAUAGCAGAUUGAUGCUUUCUUACCCAAAUUUAUUUACCUAUCUACUAGACCAUGAAGUCAAAGACCACUUUUCAUUUGUAUAUCUGCCCAUCACCCUAAUAGAUUAUGACCUUUUGAGAUGAGAAACAUGGUUCCUGCCCUCAAGAGGAUCAAAUUUGGAGAAAAAGGUAGAUAAUCAUAUCAAAUAGGGUGAGAACAAGCACUGAAAUCAAGUUUAUUGUUAACAUAUGGAGGAGGAGCACCUCAUUCAACCUGCAUUCAACAAGAAGUACUUCUCAAAAAUGUCAAGCUCAAGACGAGUAUUGAAGAACCGGUAGGAAUUGGCCAAGCUAAAAAGAGACAAAGAGGGCUCCAUACACAGGCACAUAUACCUUUGUAUGUGUCUCCUUGCCUAUGAACUGUAGAGUAAAACUCAUUACAAGUAUUCUGGAUCCAUUUUUGGCUAAGUGAAGAGGAAAGUUUUACCAGCUGAUGGCCGUUUGAUGACCUACAUGGAAAGAACUGGUAGACUCAGGAGAGCACAAUUGAGAGAAGUGAUCACAUCACAAAAUGUGACAUCAUUCUUUGGCACCAGCUGGCAUCCUGGACAUGGAGAAUACAUUUGGAGGAGUCAUUGCUCUUGAAACCCCCAAAAGUCUACUCAAACAACAAAUGCUUAUUCAAAUGUUUUGAAAUUUAUAAAUGUGAAAUUUUAAGAGGAACGUAUUGAGCAUGCAGGGUUAACAAACUUAAAUUGCAUCAUUAUGUUAAAUGGGGCAAACUUCAAAGUGUUCUCCCACCACUGAGGAAAAUAAGGUGAAUGGCACCCUUCCUUGGAUUCUAGUGCUAUUGCUGAGAUUAGCCAUUCUUGCAUCUCAAAAGGAAGAUGUUAAAAGAAGAGUUAGCCAACUGUGUUCCUGGUGCUGUGCCAGCAGGAAGUUCCCUUUGAAUGGUGCUGCAAACAUAAUAGCAGUGUGCUGACUCCAGCAACAAUGUAAAAAACAGGUCUUUGGAAGUGGUGGAAACACAUGUUUCAAGAAAAAAAAAGCGCACAGUAACAUGGUAACAAUAUGUCAGAGAGAUUCUGAAGCUCAAAACAACAUAUUUGGAAGAAGAGUGAAGUAUCCCACUGUUUCUUCAUUUGAAGUAAAACUUCCAGUUUUAGAAGCGUCAGCAAUGUUGAGAAGGUCAGAAUUGAAAGACCACAAGGAGGAGGAAGAGAAGGGGGAGGAAGAAAGAGAAGAGAGAAGAGAAAAAGAGAAAAGAAGUGGAAAAGAAGAGGGAAAGAAAGCUCACCUUCAUUUACCUCUGUUCACACUCAAACUUCUUGAUAGUAACCAA